rnacentral:rRNA from 1 species
UACGAAGGGGGCUAGCGUUGCUCGGAAUCACUGGGCGUAAAGGGUGCGUAGGCGGGUUUUUAAGUCAGGGGUGAAAUCCUGGAGCUCAACUCCAGAACUGCCUUUGAUACUGAAGAUCUUGAGUUCGGGAGAGGUGAGUGGAACUGCGAGUGUAGAGGAGAAAUUCGUAGAUAUUCGCAAGAACACCAAUAGCGAAGGCAGCUCGCUGGGACGGUACUGACGCUAAGGCGCGAAAGCGUGGGGAGCGAACAGG